rnacentral:rRNA from 1 species
AGUGAACGCUGGCGGCGUGCCUAAUACAUGCAAGUCGAACGGAAUUUAAAAGAGCUUGCUCUUUUAAAUUUAGUGGCGCACGGGUGAGUAAUAUAUAGCUAAUCUGCCCCUUGCUGGAGGACAACAGUUAGAAAUGACUGCUAAUACUCCAUACUCCUUUUUACCAUAAGAUAAAUCGGGAAAGAAUUUCGGCAAGGGAUGAGACUAUAUCGUAUCAGCUAGUCGGUGGGGUAACGGCCUACCGAGGCUAUGACGCGUAACUGGCCUGAGAGGAUGAUCAGUCACAUUGGAACUGAGACACGGUCCAAACUCCUACGGGAGGCAGCAGUAGGGAAUAUUGCGCAAUGGGGGAAACCCUGACGCAGCAACGCCGCGUGGAGGAUGACACUUUUCGGAGCGUAAACUCCUUUUGUUAGGGAAGAAUAAGACGGUA